AGUGAACGCUGGCGGUAGGCCUAACACAUGCAAGUCGAACGGCAGCACAGUAAGAGCUUGCUCUUACGGGUGGCGAGUGGCGGACGGGUGAGGAAUACAUCGGAAUCUACUUUUUCGUGGGGGAUAACGUAGGGAAACUUACGCUAAUACCGCAUACGACCUACGGGUGAAAGCAGGGGAUCUUCGGACCUUGCGCGAUUGAAUGAGCCGAUGUCGGAUUAGCUAGUUGGCGGGGUAAAGGCCCACCAAGGCGACGAUCCGUAGCUGGUCUGAGAGGACGAGCAGCCACACUGGAACUGAGACACGGUCCAGACUCCUACGGGAGGCAGCAGUGGGGAAUAUUGGACAAUGGGCGCAAGCCUGAUCCAGCCAUACCGCGUGGGUGAAGAAGGCCUUCGGGUUGUAAAGCCCUUUUGUUGGGAAAGAAAAGCAGCAGGUUAAUACCCCGCUGUUCUGACGGUACCCAAAGAAUAAGCACCGGCUAACUUCGUG
rnacentral:rRNA from 1 species